UAAAAGGAUUUUUUAAAAACCACCCAUUUUUUAAAAAGCAUACCAU
rfam:Pteropus alecto contig164769, whole genome shotgun sequence.